GACGAACGCUGGCGGCGUGCUUAACACAUGCAAGUCGAACGGAAAGGCCCUGCUUUUGUGGGGUGCUCGAGUGGCGAACGGCUGAGUAACACGUGAGUAACCUGCCCUUGACUUUGGGAUAACUUCAGGAAACUGGGGCUAAUACCGGAUAGGAGCUCCUGCUGCAUGGUGGGGGUUGGAAAGUUUCGGCGGUUGGGGAUGGACUCGCGGCUUAUCAGCUUGUUGGUGGGGUAGUGGCUUACCAAGGCUUUGACGGGUAGCCGGCCUGAGAGGGUGACCGGCCACAUUGGGACUGAGAUACGGCCCAGACUCCUACGGGAGGCAACAGUGGGGAAUAUUGCACAAUGGGCGGAAGCCUGAUGCAGCAACGCCGCGUGCGGGAUGACGGCCUUCGGGUUGUAAACCGCUUUCGCCUGUGACGAAGCGUGAGUGACGGUAAUGGGUAAAGAAGCACCGGCUAACUACGUG
rnacentral:rRNA from 1 species